rnacentral:rRNA from 1 species
AUUGAACGCUGGCGGCAGGCCUAACACAUGCAAGUCGAAUGGUAACAGGAAACAGCUUGCUGUUUCGCUGACGAGUGGCGGACGGGUGAGUAAUGUCUGGGAAACUGCCUGAUGGAGGGGGAUAACUACUGGAAACGGUAGCUAAUACCGCAUAACGCCGCAAGACCAAAGAGGGGGACCUUCGGGCCUCUUGCCAUCAGAUGUGCCCAAAUGGGAUUAGCUAGUAGGUGGGGUAACGGCUCACCUAGGCGACGAUCCCUAGCUGGUCUGAGAGGAUGACCAGCCACACUGGAACUGAGACACGGUCCAGACUCCUACGGGAGGCAGCAGUGGGGAAUAUUGCACAAUGGGCGCAAGCCUGAUGCAGCCAUGCCGCGUGUAUGAAGAAGGCCUUCGGGUUGUAAAGUACUUUCAGCGGGGAGGAAGGGAGUAAAGUUAAUACCUUUGCUCAUUGACGUUACCCGCAGAAGAAGCACCGGCUAACUCCGUG